rnacentral:rRNA from 1 species
CACGUAGGGUGCGAGCGUUGUCCGGAAUUAUUGGGCGUAAAGAGCUCGUAGGCGGUUUGGUAAGUCUGGUGUGAAAUCUCCACGCUCAACGUGGAGGGGCCACCCGAUACUGCCAUGACUGGAGUCCGGUAGAGGAGUGUGGAAUUCCCGGUGUAGCGGUGAAAUGCGCAGAUAUCGGGAGGAACACCCGUAGCGAAGGCGGCACUCUGGGCCGGUACUGACGCUGAGGCACGAAGGUCAGGGGAGCAAACGGG